GGAGGGAUGCCGGAGCGGCCGAACGGGGGAGUCUUGAAAACUCCUGGGCCUCAGGGUCCCGCGGGUUCGAAUCCCGCUCCCUCCG
rnacentral:tRNA from 1 species